GACAUAGGUGGCGAACGUUAUCCGGAAUUAUUGGGCGUAAAGGAUGCGUAGAUGGUGUGAUAAGUUAUCAGUGGGAAAUCGGGGCUCAACCUCGUGGAAGUUGGUAAUACUGUCAUGCUUGAGUGCAGGAGAGGUUAACGGAACUCUAUGUGGAGCGGUAAAAUGUGACGAUAUAUGGAAGAACGCCAAUAAGGCGAAAGCAGUUAACUAUUCUGUUACUGACAUUGAGGCAUGAAAGCGUGGGGAGCAAAACGG
rnacentral:rRNA from 1 species